rnacentral:rRNA from 1 species
GAUGAACGCUGGCGGCGUGCCUAAUACAUGCAAGUCGAGCGAACAGACAAGGAGCUUGCUCCUUUGACGUUAGCGGCGGACGGGUGAGUAACACGUGGGUAACCUACCUAUAAGACUGGGAUAACUUCGGGAAACCGGAGCUAAUACCGGAUAAUAUUUCGAACCGCAUGGUUCGAUAGUGAAAGAUGGUUUUGCUAUCACUUAUAGAUGGACCCGCGCCGUAUUAGCUAGUUGGUAAGGUAACGGCUUACCAAGGCGACGAUACGUAGCCGACCUGAGAGGGUGAUCGGCCACACUGGAACUGAGACACGGUCCAGACUCCUACGGGAGGCAGCAGUAGGGAAUCUUCCGCAAUGGGCGAAAGCCUGACGGAGCAACGCCGCGUGAGUGAUGAAGGUCUUCGGAUCGUAAAACUCUGUUAUUAGGGAAGAACAUACGUGUAAGUAACUAUGCACGUCUUGACGGUACCUAAUCAGAAAGCCACGGCUAACUACGUGCCAGCAGCCGCGGUAAUACGUAGGUGGCAAGCGUUAUCCGGAAUUAUUGGGCGUAAAGCGCGCGUACGCGGUUUUUUAAGUCUGAUGUGAAAGCCCACGGCUCAACCGUGGAGGGUCAUUGGAAACUGGAAAACUUGAGUGCAGAAGAGGAAAGUGGAAUUCCAUGUGUAGCGGUGAAAUGCGCAGAGAUAUGGAGGAACACCAGUGGCGAAGGCGACUUUCUGGUCUGUAACUGACGCUGAUGUGCGAAAGCGUGGGGAUCAAACAGGAUUAGAUACCCUGGUAGUCCACGCCGUAAACGAUGAGUGCUAAGUGUUAGGGGGUUUCCGCCCCUUAGUGCUGCAGCUAACGCAUUAAGCACUCCGCCUGGGGAGUACGACCGCAAGGUUGAAACUCAAAGGAAUUGACGGGGACCCGCACAAGCGGUGGAGCAUGUGGUUUAAUUCGAAGCAACGCGAAGAACCUUACCAAAUCUUGACAUCCUUUGACAACUCUAGAGAUAGAGCUUUCCCCUUCGGGGGACAAAGUGACAGGUGGUGCAUGGUUGUCGUCAGCUCGUGUCGUGAGAUGUUGGGUUAAGUCCCGCAACGAGCGCAACCCUUAAGCUUAGUUGCCAUCAUUAAGUUGGGCACUCUAAGUUGACUGCCGGUGACAAACCGGAGGAAGGUGGGGAUGACGUCAAAUCAUCAUGCCCCUUAUGAUUUGGGCUACACACGUGCUACAAUGGACAAUACAAAGGGCAGCGAAACCGCGAGGUCAAGCAAAUCCCAUAAAGUUGUUCUCAGUUCGGAUUGUAGUCUGCAACUCGACUACAUGAAGCUGGAAUCGCUAGUAAUCGUAGAUCAGCAUGCUACGGUGAAUACGUUCCCGGGUCU